rnacentral:rRNA from 1 species
CCGAGUUGUAGUCUAGAGAGGCGUCUUCCGCGUCGGACCGUGUACAAGUCCCUUGGAACAGGGCGUCAUAGAGGGUGAGAAUCCCGUCCAUGACACGGACUACCGGUGCUUUGUGAUGCGCCUUCAAAGAGUCGAGUUGUUUGGGAAUGCAGCUCAAAAUGGGUGGUAAAUUCCAUCUAAAGCUAAAUACAGGCGAGAGACCGAUAGCGAACAAGUACCGUGAGGGAAAGAUGAAAAGCACUUUGGAAAGAGAGUUAAACAGUACGUGAAAUUGUUGAAAGGGAAACGCUUGAAGUCAGUCGCGUCCGCCGAGACUCAGCCUUGCUUCUGCUUGGUGCACUUCUCGGUGGAUGGGCCAGCAUCGAUUUUGGUUGCCGGAUAAAGGCUGGAGGAAGGUGGCACCCUCGGGUGUGUUAUAGCCUCCUGUCGCAUACGGUGGCUGGGAUCGAGGACUGCAGCACGCCUUCAUGGUCGGGGUUCGCCCACGUCCCGUGCUUAGGAUGCUGGCCGUAAUGGCUUUAAACGACCCGUCUUGAAACACGGACCAAGGAGUCUAACAUGCCUGCGAGUGUUUGGGUGGAAAACCCAGGCGCGUAAUGAAAGNGAA